UAUUAUUUCUUUGAUAAUUUAUUCUAUCAUUUUCCGUCUUGUAGUUUGUGUCGAAGAAUCAAUUAUCAAUGCAGAAUUAAUUGAUUCGGAUUUGUACAGCUCAUUAUGAUUUUCUAUAAAUAGUAAUUAGCUGUCUUUUCUGUUUGUUACCAUAUUUAGAAUUAGCUUUUAUAGGGAGAUCAAUUUCCCUAGUUUCUAGUCGAGAUUUAUGCUCCAGUAUCUGCCCUAUGUAUUCUAUAUAUACCUCCUAUGUAUUUCUCAUCAUUUUCAAGGAAAUAUAAAGUAUAUUUCUAUAUGGUAUUAGAGCACGAUCUGAACCAUCCCUAACCUAGCACCGCCUAGCCAUGGAGGAUCCCAAAUCUGAUGAAUUGCUCGAAGUGGAAACUGGGUCAUUUCCAACCAGCUCACAGCCUCACACGAUGGGCUCACUCACCUCAUCACAAGUCAUAAAUUAAAUGGCCAAAACUAUACCAAGUGGGUAGGGUCAGUCAAGAUCUUCCUCCAAGGAAAAGGAAGGGAAGGCUACAUCACAAGAGAUUCUAAGUGCCUGAGAAAGGAGACACAAACCUUAAAAAAUGGAAACUUGAGAACAGCCAAAUAAUGUCAUGGCUGCUAAACACCAUGACAAAUGAAAUUGAUGAAGAUUUCAUGUUCUAUGACACUGCAAAAGAGAUAUGGGAUGCAGUGAAGGAAAUAUACUCAAAUGUGGACAACACACAUGCUGGAUUUGAGAUAAAAGGCAUUCUUCAUGACCUUCGACAGGGAGAAUCCUCUGCUACUGAGUAUUUUAACAAAAUUAAUAGAUACUGGCAGCAGUUGGACAUAUAUGAAGAGGUUACAUGGUGCUGUAAAGAAAAUCAGAAUAUAAGGAACUGGUAGAAAAAGAUAGGAUUUACAAAUUCCUAUUGGUACUAAACAAGGACCUUGACGAAGUUCGUGGAAGGAUUCUUGGAACCAAACCACUUCCCAAAGCAGGAGGAAACUCAUGCUGGGGACACCCACCUUAGUUCCAUAGAGCGAGAGCUCUGCAAUGACAGCAAGAGGAAAUCAGUCUCGGCCACCUCAAAAGAAAGCCCGCCCCUAGUGUGAUCAUUGCAAGAGACCAGGCCACACUAAGGAAACAUGUUGGACCGUACAUGGAAAACCUUCAGAUGCCAAACAGUUCAAAGGAAAGGAGGGAAAAUGCAACACAAAAUUUAACCAUCAAGAAGCUGAGGUAAAUUCAAAUCCAUCUCCUUUCAGCAAAGAACAAAUGGAGGCUCUUCAAAAACUACUUUAGCAGAUUGUGUUAACUGCAGAAAUAGGUGGUACUGCCGUAGUGGCUCAAAGAGGUCCUUUGAAGCAGCUGUUGACAGCAUAGAAAUUCCAAUAAAUAUUCAAGAAGCACUGCAGAAACCGGAAUGGGCAGCAGGUGUAACAGAAGAAGUUCAAGCACUUGUAUAAAAUGGCACAUGGGAGAUCACCACUAUACCAGAAGGGAAAAGAGCAGUAGGAUGCAAGUGGAUAUUCUCGACUAAGUACAAUGCUGAUAGAACUAUAAACAUGUUCAAAGCUCGGUUGGUUGCAAAGGUGGUGGUUUAUGAAGAGACUUUCGCACAUGUUGCUAAAAUUAAUUAUGUUCGGGAUCUACUAUUUCUGGCAGUGAAUCUAGAUUGACCCCUGUACCAACUAGACAUAAAGAAUGCAUUUCUAAAUGGGGAGUUAGAAGAAGAGGUUUAUAUGCAAAUACCUCCAGGAUUUGAAUCACCCAGGAUCUCCAACAUGGUGCUCAGACUUCGCAAAUCUCUAUAUGGCCUCAAACAAUCACCAAGGGCAUAGUUUGACAGACUGACAAAAGUUGUCGAACAAGAUGGUUUUGUUCAAUGCCAAGUAGACCAUACUAUGUUUUUCAAACACUCUUGUGGAUGGUAAGAUAGCUUUAUUUAUUGUCUAUGUUGAUGAUUUCGUAAAUACAGGAGAUGAUUAUGAACAAGUCAACAAGUUAAAGAAACUUCUAGCCAAGGAAUUUGAAAGGACUUAGGCCAACUCAAGUAUUUUCAAGGGAUGGAAAUUGCGCAGACAAUGAAUGGUAUUUCAGUUUCUGAAAGGAAGUACACUCUGGAUUUGCUUCAAGAAAUAGGUAUGCUUGGAUGUAAAGCUGCCAAUACUCCCAUAGAACCAGUAAAAAGGAGUGAAGAGGAGAAUAUACCAGCUGAUAAAGAUAGAUAUCAAAGUCUAGUUGGAAAACUAAUCUAUCUAACUUACACCAGGCCCGACAUUGGCUAUGCUGUAAGCAUGGCUAGUCGUUAUAUGUCAAAUCCAACUGAAACUGACAUGAAAAAUGUAAACAUAAUACUCCAAUACCUGAAAGGUACACCAGGAUGAGGACUCUAUUUCCAGAAGAACUCAAACAGAGGUAUUGAAGUCUACAAUGAUUCAGAUUGGGCACGAUGUAUAUCUGACAGGAAAUCGACUACAGGCUACUACACAUUUGUAUGGGGUAAUAUGGUAACUUGUAGAAGCAAAAAACAGUCUGUUGUGGCUAGGAGUAGGCUAUUGCACAUUUUGCUAUAAGUGUUGAUCAUAUUCCAUCAUGCCAGCAAAAUGCAGACAUUCUAACAAAAGCCCUUCCAAGGAAUGCAUACGAAAAUAUCAGAUCCAAUCUGGGUAUGAUUGACAUCUGCCACCAGGAUUGAGGGGGAGUGUGGAAAAAUCAAUGCAGAAUCAAUUGAUUCGGAUUUGUACAGCUCAUGAGGAUUUUCUGUAAAUAGUAAUUAGUUGUCUUAUCUUUUCUGUUUGUUACCAUAUUUAGAAUUAGCUUUUAUAGGAUCAAUUCCCCUAAUUUCUAGGCUAGAUUUAUGCUCCAGUAUCUACCCUAUUUAUUCUAUAUAUACCUCCUAUGUAUUUCUCAUCAUUUUCAAGGAGAUAUAAAGUAUACUUCUAUAGUUUGUUA